AUGGUUAGAAACCUUCGUCUAAUUUCAAGUCUAAACUUCCUAGUGUCCACUUUAUACCCAUUUGACCUUGUGUCUACAUGAGUGCUAAGCUUAAAUACUUCU